UGUGUAGGUGGUCACGUAUGUCGGAUGUGAAAUUCCGGGGCCUAACCCGGCGCUGCAUUCGAAACUGCGUGUCUAGAGUACAGGAGAGGUAAGCGGAAUUCUUGGUGUAGCGGUGAAAUGCGUUGAUAUCAAGAAGAACACCGGAUGCGAAGGCGGCUUACUGGAAUGUUACUGACACUGAUACACGAAAGCUAGGGGAGCAAACAGGAUUAGAUACCCUGGUAGUCC
rnacentral:rRNA from 1 species